AUUCCCGCCGCGCGCGGCGGGCGGGGCGGGGGCACGGGGGGACUCCUACGGGAGGCAGCAGUAGGGAAUCUUCCGCAAUGGACGAAGGUCUGACGGAGCAACGCCGCGUGUGUGAAGAAGGUUUUCGGAUCGUAAAGCACUGUUGUUAGAGAAGAACAAGGAUAAGAGUAACUGCUUGUCCCUUGACGGUAUCUAACCAGAAAGCCACGGCUAACUACGUGCCAGCAGCCGAAUC
rnacentral:rRNA from 1 species